rnacentral:rRNA from 1 species
UAAAACGUCCAUACCGCAUUGCAUACACCGUUUCACGUCCGAUCAGCGAAUUUAAGCAACGUCGGGCGCGGUCAGAACUUGGAUGGGUGAUCGCCUGGGAACACCGCGUGACGUAGGCU